GUGUGAUACGCCCUCAACAGCACUAAAAAUAUACUCUGAGGCUAAUUGAAUAUCUCUUGAUCCUGAGAUUUUCUUUUUCUGAAAACCAACUCCAAAAUAAUCCAGGCAGUGAAGUACUCCUGAAUGAUCUCGCUGUGCCAGUCUUUGUGCAUGUCAUCUAAAACAAAUGGAUGCCAAUUUCCUACCAAUAACCAAACGGUUGCAGUAAGGAUUUUAUGUAGUAUAUAAAAACUAAGAAAUUAUCUUUAGGAAAAAAAAAUCAACCUGGUGGUUUCUCUUUGGAUGUGGUUCUAAUUAUCAGUGUAACAAGAUCCAGAAUAUCUGAAGAUAUUUGAACCAUCCCGUUUACUCUUGGUCAUGCUGAGCAUUUUUUAUCUCAGUUUAGGCAAUAACUUUAUUAUACCAUCCAGCACUGCAGCCUUGUGAACUUUCACUUAUUCUCUUAACAAGAGGAAAAUUAAAAAUCUGGAAAAAAUACUGAGAAUAUCGCUUGAUGCCCUUUAAAUUAUUUUGGGGGUAGAAAAGCGUGAUUUUUAUUUUCUCUCUUCUUUCUUUUUGCUUUAAUACUACCUUAAAGUACUGGCUGUUUUGCUAACAUAACUGAAAGAGGGGUUCCAGUUAUGACGUUCUUGUUCUCUGACUCACUUGUGAUAUACCUGCAAUUAGGAGCGUGAACAGGAUUUAGUUGUUUUCUGUAACUGAUAAAAGUCUUAAGUGCAUCCAAGACGAAGUCCAGUGAGGUCUGUGCUGUGAAUGGUUCAAAGGGAAGCCAUGUUGUAACUGGCUUUCCUUGGCUCAACUCGAUUUUUGAUGCAACAGGUUUGCACAAGGCUAAUUGCUCAAUAGAUAAUUAAAGAAUAAGGGUUUCAUCUUAAUCUUUAACUACAAAGAAAUCCUACUGAGAUCAAUUUUCACUUUCCCAGCGUUGACUGCUUGCUAUAUCCUGAGCUGUUGUAAUGCUUUCUUUCAAAUUGAAAAAGGCAAAAAAAAAGGGGGGGGGGGGGAAUAAUUUGUUCUGGUCCUUUUUAAGUGUAAAAUAUGUAAGUAUCUCCAGGGUAAACCUUUAUUAUUAUUUUUUGAAAGGUAUACAAUUGCAUCAUAUGUUUGUAUUAUCUGUAAAAUUUCUUAUGUUCUGGUUCUCUUCCCCUGUUCUCCAACAGUGAGCACAAUCAAGGCCUGAGCUGAGGAAGAAUUAUGGCUUGCUAUCAUAAAUAUAAUAAGAAAAGUUUUUUUACACAUAAACGCUAAGACUUGAGAUCUAAAUACAUUUUCCAGAUUGUGCUGUAGUCUUCUUUUGUGAGAGUCACCGCUAAUCAGCCUUGGAAAGAAGAAUUGCUUUGUCUGUGAAGCCAGUGCUCAGCAGACUACACAGGCUUGGCAGAGAAGCUCUGCUUAUGCAAACAAAACCAAGGACACACAUGAAGACUUCGCCAUUCUAUUUUAUUUCUCCGAAACUCUCUUUAGUGAAGAUUAAUAGAUGGCCGAGAACUCCACUUGGAUCAUUUUUAAACGUGAUGCUUCUCUGUACCUGUUCCAGCACGAACCCUGGCUUGCUGAGCACUGGUAGCCUGGAUGAUGCCCUAAAAUCUCAGUGGAAUUUCACCCAGUGCCUUACUUCCUGUAUUUUUCUGAGAUGUCCAGCUCUGUCUGCACUGCAGUUCGUAUCCUAGCUGGGUACUAUGGAGCUCGAGCUAAUACUCUGCCUCUACCCUAACUGCAAGCACCACACCUGCCCCACGCCUUGAAUCAGACAGCCUGCUGGCUGGCAUUAGCAUCAAAAUUACAAAUAUAACACGGGCCUCUUUGUUUUCCAGUGGAAAAAUUGUGGGCACAGGUUUUCCCUGAAUUAUAUUCUAAAUGGAAGGUUUGCAGAAUUUAAAAUGUAUGUAUAAACACUAGAUUAUUGUACACAUAACUGCUAUUAAUUGUGGGCAUUAUGUAGUAGCCAUUUAUACUGAGGCAGCCUGUAGCUCGGUGUAGCUCCUCCAGGGUGUUGGAUACAAACAAACACUGCCAGUUCAUGUCCUUAAGAACUCACAGUCCAAGUCACUUCCAGCUUCCACAUGGAUUUCUUGCAGUCUGGCUUUACCAGCUCACAGGAUACAGAAAAUAAAUCAACAGUGAAGUUUUUACUCCGCUCAUUUUAUUCAGUUGAGUUCUCUGCUGCACCUCCUGGUUAGAUUAGAUAGCAAGAAUGUUUGUUUGUUUGUUUGUUUUUCCACACUUCAAUAAGUUCUCCAAAAAGGUACUUAGCAGAAAAUUAGACUGAAUUUUAGCCGUAUAGAAAUCUUAAGUCAACUCCAAGCAAUUUUCAUAAUCCAAGCAGAAUGGACCAAGAAGCCAGCUGUAAACAGUCCGUAUUGUUUAGGGCUUUCUGCAAUCCAAUGGAUGAGGUUUUCAGGAGAAGUAAAAUGUUACAGGACUGUAACAGAAGUGAAAAAUGCUUCUGCUGCAAGGAAAACCGUACUGGUAACUUAUUGUUAGUUGUCUUCAAAACAGACAUCAAACCCCAGACAGCAGACCUACAGAGACUUUCCAGAAUCCAAAUAUACCUCCUCUGUAGGCAGCAGAGGCUGCAAUCAGAAGGGAGGAUGUCAUCUGGAAAUUAUGAAGUGGAUGCAGAAUUGAUUAGAGGAGCAUGCAGGUACAAGUAGGACAACUGGUAGCAAGAAGAGCUCAGUACCAGUCUCCCAUCUGCAGAUCUUAUAUAUAGUGAUGGAGCAGUCAGAUUACAAAGGACGGUUUUGCCUACCAAAAUUACUGAGUGCUUUGGCUUGGUUUCCAAACUGAUCUUGUUAUCAUGAUGCACCUGGAAAUAGCAUUUGACUGAGAUAACAAGAAGCAAACCAUGAUAAUGGAGAUCUACAGGCAGAUGGAGAGAGACACAGGUUGCCAUAGAAACCAUGCAGAAAAAGCGUGUAGGAGUGGAGCAAGGCACAGAAAGAGAAGGGGUUAGAGACUGAAGAACUGAACUCGCUCAGCUUUUCGAGACAUUAACAAAAACAUAUUAGUUUUACAGGGGACUGAGAGCCAUGGAGGGCAGGAAUCCUAACGGUGAGCUGCAGAAGGCAGCGAUGCCAUGUUGUGCCAUAGGGGAGGGCAGAAAAAGCCUCUGGAAAAAGGCCAGAGGUGAAUGAGGUGGCUGAAAUGGGUGGGAAGCCCUGGAGCACAGCCACAGCCCUUGCUCCCUUGUGCCUGGUGAGCACGCUGGUGAGAAGGGGAUGUGCUUGGCCUCCUCCCUCCCCACACGGAGGCCGUAGGUGUGCAAGAGGUCACCCUGCUUCCAGCAGUGCCUGCUUCCAGAGUCAGAAUCAGGGCCCCUCAGUCCUGUCCUCCCUGAGCUCCCAGGGCACAAUCCUUUCCUCAGAGGGUGCCCUGCUGGGAUUACACAAUAUUCCAGCCCGGGUUCCCGGCUUCCAGCCAGCCUGAGCCCCAGUUUGCGUUUCCAAGUCUGGGCUGUGCUGCAGUGAUGUAACGCGGGAGGCUGGAGCAUGACUCAAUGCAAAGUCACACUGCAUGGAACUGGAAAUGGUGCCAAAUGUGACUGUGGGGGAUGCAGGCGGCGAGGGAAACUUUGUAGGCAGCCUGAGCUGCUGCCGUCUGUGACUCUGGUCCUUUCAGCUGGACAUCUGAGAUUCAGUGGAGCUGUGGUACAGCAGAAUACAACGCACAGUGACGGAUGGAGAAGGGGAAGGAAAUUAUGAGAUGAUUGAUGGUGACUGAAAAGCCCAAACAAAUAAAGGUUUUGACUCAUUAAGUACUACAGGAGUGAUGAAUAGCCUAUUAAAAGCAAGCACCAGUGAUUCUGCACAUCAAACAGUUCAGCAUUUCACAUGCAUGCUCACUUACAGCGAAGCCACAGAUCCAGUAACACAGCGAUAUCUGUAAAGCUCCAGAAUCGAGACUCUCUCAAAGGAUCUCAACAGUAUAAAACACUCCAGAGGCUGACGUA